UUGGGAGCUUGCUCCCAUGAGAGUGGCGCACGGGUGAGUAACGCGUAUGCAACCUACCUUUAACUGAGGGAUAGCCCAUAGAAAUGUGGAUUAAUACCUCAUAGUUCUGAGAAGCCGCAUGGUUUUUCAGAUAAAGCUCCGGCGGUUAAAGAUGGGCAUGCGUGACAUUAGUUUGUUGGUGAGGUAACGGCUCACCAAGACUACGAUGUCUAGGGGUUCUGAGAGGAUGAUCCCCCACACUGGUACUGAGACACGGACCAGACUCCUACGGGAGGCAGCAGUGAGGAAUAUUGGUCAAUGGGCGCAAGCCUGAACCAGCCAUCCCGCGUGAAGGAUGAAGGCCCUAUGGGUCGUAAACUUCUUUUAUACACCAAGAAAAAGCAGGACGUGUCCUGCCCCGACGGUAGUGUAUGAAUAAGCAUCGGCUAACUCCGUGCCAGCAGCCGCGGUAAUACGGAGGAUGCAAGCGUUAUCCGGAUUUAUUGGGUUUAAAGGGUGCGUAGGCGGCUUUUUAAGUCAGUGGUGAAAUCCUGUCGCUUAACGAUAGAAUUGCCAUUGAUACUGAAAAGCUUGAGUACAAUUGAGGUAAGCGGAAUGUGUAGUGUAGCGGUGAAAUGCUUAGAUAUUACACAGAACACCGAUUGCGAAGGCAGCUUACUAAACUGUCACUGACGCUGAUGCACGAAAGCGUGGGGAGCGAACAGGAUUAGAUACCCUGGUAGUCCACGCCGUAAACGAUGAUCACUCGCUGUAUGCGAUACACAGUAUGCGGCCAAGCGAAAGCAUUAAGUGAUCC
rnacentral:rRNA from 1 species